rnacentral:lncRNA from 1 species
AUGUCAAUCAAUUCAGGACAGUUCUGUGGGGCUUAUGAGAAAGAAUGCUAUCCACUUAAGAGAAAGAACUGUGGGAGUAGAAAUCCAGAAGAAAACAUGGGAUUUAUCACUUGCUUAUAUAGGUAUGUGAUUUGGGGUUUUGAUCUUCAAGGAUCACUCUUUUACAAGUUUGAGUUUUACAGUUUGAGUUUAUAUAUAUACAUAUACAAAAAUAAAUAUAACCCAGUGGAAUUGCUUGUCAACUCCAGGAGGGGGAAAGGAGAAGGAAGGGAGGGAGGAAAAGGAAGGAAGGAAGGAAGGAAGGAAGGAAGGAAGGAAGGAAGGAAGGAAGGAAGGAAGGAAGGAAGGAAGGAAGGAAGGAAGGAAGGAACGAAGGAAGGAAGAAAGGAAGGAAGAAAGGAAGAAAGGAAGAAAGAAAGAAAGAAAGAAAGAAAGAAAGAAAGAAAGAAAGAAAGAAAGAAAGAAAGAAAGAAAGAAAGAAAGAAAGAAAGAAAGAGAGAGAGAGAGAGAGAGAGAGAGAGAGAGAGAGAGAGAGAGAGGGAGGGAGGGAGGGAGGGAGGAAGGAAGGAACGAAGGAAGGAAGGAAGGAAGGAAGGAAGGAAGGAAGGAAGGAAGGAAGGAAGGGAGGGAGGGAGGGAGGGAGGAAGGAAGGAAGGGAAAAUUCUUGUCACCUGACAACUAGACCCUUGGGAAUAAGACUCUUU